CUCUUAUCAAGAGAGGUGGAGGGAAGUGCCCUAUGAAGCCCGGCAACCAUCAACAAUGUUGAAAUGGUGCCAAUUCACUCGAAGCGGUCUGCUUUGAAAGAUGAGAG
rfam:Bacillus amyloliquefaciens FZB42, complete genome.